rnacentral:rRNA from 1 species
AACAAGCGGACGAAGUCAUGCACACAGCCAGAGGAAAAACUCCUUUGCGAGUGUUGGAGGGACAUGGGACAAGACCCCAAGGUCGGCCUCGAGCAAAAGGUAUCUACCUUUUGGCUUCGAGUUCAUCGUGAAUACCAAGAACACAAGAAGUUCUCGCCGUACCAAAUGGAGGGAAAGGGCGGGUGGGUGUCUCUCUCAAAGCGAUAG